GGUAGAGAGGUCUUUGAGAACAUAAGACAUUCAAAUGUAUUCCAUUAAGCUACAGCUCUGGAGCAAACUUUGGAGAUUCUCAUCUGUAAAUCUUUCCCAGCUAUGCGAUACAAAUUACCUAUCAAAACACCAAGAGGUCAGAAAUGAAAUGAUACAGUUAAAGUCUGGUGGGACACCAGUUGCAUGCUAUAUUUUGCUGCAGAGAACAAAGAUGAUACAAAAUGACAUACGGAGAGCAGAGAGAGCAUAGAAGUCACUGAGAGGAAGCACUCGUUGCUCAUCUAAGUUUGGAUGACACUGCGUGUGAACUUUCUGCAUACAGCUGGUUGUGUUGUUAUCCUCAGAGCCAGAGGCGAUGAACCGGCCGCAGGGUGAGAUGGCACUGGAGCAUGGAUGACAGCGAUUUACAUGGUUCUCAUAGCGCCGCACACACCUGAGGUACCACCAUGGACUCUUUUUGCUUCCUGUUAACCCUCAUUACCGGUUACCAUCAUAACUCAUUACCACAAGCUGGAGCUGAACAUCACCUCCCUCACCAAGAAGGCACAGCAGAAAAUGUACUUCUUAUGACAGCUGAAGAAUUUCAGCCUUCCAAAGACAAUGACAUUGCACUUCUACUCCCCCAUCCUUCGGUUCAUCCUCUGGUGAGACUGGCUGCAGAUCUUCUGUCUCUUCAGGAGAUGUACACUUCCAGAUGACAGAGGGGAGCAGGAACAAACUUUUUCAAACCCUCCCCUCUGGCUGGAGAAUGUGGUCCAUUAGGACCAGCACAUCUCACCACAUCUGGUGCUAGCCUCAUAAUAGCAAGGCCUGGGUCCACCACAGACACGUUUCCUACUAGUAUAUAAAAAAAAGAGGCAAAACAACACAAAAACUCCAUCCCCAUUAAAUGUAUACCAUUUAACCUAAUC